CAACGAAUCUUCCGCAAUGGGCGCAAGCCUGACGGAGCAACGCCGCGUGUUGGAAGAAGUCCCUCGGGAUGUAAACAACUGUCAGGGGUUAGGAAUUUUGACCAGCCCCAGAGGAAGCCUCGGCUAACUCCGUGCCAGCAGCCGCGGUAAUACGGAGGAGGCGAGCGUUGUUCGGAAUCACUGGGCUUAAAGCGCGUGCAGGCUGGACGGGAGGUGUCUUGUGAAAUCCCUCGGCUCAACCGAGGAAUGGCUUGGCAAACCAUCGUCCUUGAGGCGGGUAGAGGCAACCGGAACUAUGGGUGGAGCGGUGAAAUGCGUAGAUAUCCAUGGGAACGCCUGUGGCGAAAGCGGGUUGCUGGGCUCGUCCUGACGCUGAGACGCGAAAGCGUAGGUAGCAAACGGGAUUAGAUACCCCCGUAGUCC
rnacentral:rRNA from 1 species